UGACCUCAAAUCAGGUAGGAUUACCCGCUGAACUUAAGCAUAUCAAUAAGCGGAGGAAAAGAAACUAACAAGGAUUUCCCUAGUAACUGCGAGUGAAGCGGAAAAAGCUCAAAUUUAAAAUCUGAUAGUCUUUUGGCUGUCCGAGUUGUAAUCUAAAGAAGUGUUAUCCGUGCUGGACCAUGUACAAGUCUCCUGGAAUGGAGCGUCAUAGAGGGUGAGAAUCCCGUCUUUGACAUGGACUACCAGCGCAUUUGUGAUGCACUUUCAAAGAGUCGAGUUGUUUGGGAAUGCAGCUCUAAAUGGGUGGUAAAUUCCAUCUAAAGCUAAAUAUUGGCAAGAGACCGAUAGUGAACAAGUACCGUGAGGGAAAGAUGAAAAGCACUUUGGAAAGAGAGUUAAACAGUACAUGAAAUUGUUGAAAGGGAAACGCUUGAAGUCAGUCAUGUUGACAUAGGAAUCAACCUUGCUUUAAUUAGCUUGGUGCACUUUCUGGUUGACAGGUCAGCAUCAAUUUUGACUGAUGGAUAAAGACUUGAGGAAUGUGACAUCUAUGGAUGUGUUAUAGCCUUUGGUUGUAUACAUUGGUUGAGAUUGAGGAAUUCAGCAUGCCUUUUACAAGGUCAGGUUUUUAUAAA
rnacentral:rRNA from 1 species